rnacentral:sRNA from 1 species
UUAUAGCCCCGAGUGAAGUGAAAAUCCUUUGUAGUUCUGAACUUGUUUCAGGAUACUGAAAACAAGUUCAGAACUACAAAGAUUGUAACGUAAAGCGGGAAAUAGC